ensembl:snoRNA
AUCUUUUUGUAGUUCAUAAGUGUGGUGAUGUGUUUACACUUAUUUAUAAGAUGUGCCUCCCUCAAACCUUGUUAUGAUGUCAGCAUAUUACCUGUCUGACG